rnacentral:rRNA from 1 species
GAUGAACGCUGACAGAAUGCUUAACACAUGCAAGUCAACUUGAACUUCGGUUUGGGUGGCGGACGGGUGAGUAACGCGUAAAGAACUUGCCUCACAGAUAGGGACAACAUUUGGAAACGAAUGCUAAUACCUGAUAUUAUGAUUUUAGGGCAUCCUAGGAUUAUGAAAGCUAUAUGCGCUGUGAGAGAGCUUUGCGUCCCAUUAGCUAGUUGGAGAGGUAACGGCUCACCAAGGCGAUGAUGGGUAGCCGGCCUGAGAGGGUGAUCGGCCACAAGGGGACUGAGACACGGCCCUUACUCCUACGGGAGGCAGCAGUGGGGAAUAUUGGACAAUGGACCAAGAGUCUGAUCCAGCAAUUCUGUGUGCAUGAUGAAGUUUUUCGGAAUGUAAAGUGCUUUCAGUUGGGAAGAAAAAAAUGACGGUACCAACAGAAGAAGUGACGGCUAAAUACGUG